rnacentral:lncRNA from 1 species
AAAUUUGAUCAUGUUAUAUGAUGAAUAUGUGUUUAUUUGUUAUUUAACUUGAUAUAAGACCCACAAUGGGCUUCAAAAGCUCACCCCGUUAGUUCUAAACCUUUCUGGUAAUACACAGACUUAGGGCUUGGAAUCGGCAUUCGAAGGAGCCUCUCGGAUGAAUAUUUUUAAUAAGCAUAAUUGUAAAAAAACCCUCAACAUUUGGGGGCUUUGGGUUUUGUGCCCUUGGCAUUUUUAUUUUUUGAUUGACA